UCCACCGACUAAUGGGCAACUAAUCUUACCAACAUCAACGUCGCUGAACUAAAACUGCGUAAGCGGUGGAAUACUUAAAGAAACAUUGGCGCUAUACAAUGUGGUGAAAACCUGCAAAGUAUAUAAGGUCAAAAAAUUUAGGCAAAAACUGUUAGUGAUAGCGCACUAGCAGUUUUUU
rnacentral:ncRNA from 1 species